rnacentral:rRNA from 1 species
CAAUAGCGUAUAUUAAGGUUGUUGCAGUUAAAAAGCUCGUAGUUGAAUUUCUGUCAGGAGUGACCGGGCCUUUGGAUGAACUUCCAUUGUUUUUUGCUCUGUUUGUCGUCUCUAGACAUCCUGAAAUAUUUUUUAAAAAUAUUUCUCUUUUACUGUUAGCAAAAUAGAGUGUUCCAAGCAAAGCGUAGUUUUGAAUACAUUAGAAUGGAAUAAUAAGAUAGGACUUUGGUGCUAUUUUGUUGGUUUGCACACCAAGGUAAUGAUUAAUAGGGACAGGUGGGGGUAUUCGUAUUUAAUUGUCAGAGGUGAAAUUCUUGGAUUUAUGAAAGACGAACUACUGCGAAAGCAUUUACCAAGGAUGUUUUCAUUAA